rnacentral:ncRNA from 2 species
AUAUUUGCCGCAGCUAAUGGUUUCUUUAAUACUUCGUUGUUAGAGAAUUAAAAGGGAAUGCGGUGAGACUCCGUUACUGUCCCGCAGCUGUAUGCUCCGGAAACGGCAUUUAAAUCAUAGUCACUGUUCUAUCCUGCCAAAGGAACCUGAAUGGGAAGACUGAAUGUCCGGGAGUGAGUCAGAAGACCUGCCUUUAGUAUUCAUUUUUU